UACAGAGGGCUCAAGCGUUGUUCGGAUUCAUUGGGCGUAAAGGGUGCGUAGGCGGCGCGGUAAGUCGGAUGUGAAAUCUCGGAGCUUAACUUCGAAACUGCAUUCGAUACUGCCGUGCUUGAGGACUGGAGAGGAGACUGGAAUUUACGGUGUAGCGGUGAAAUGCGUAGAUAUCGUAAGGAAGACCAGUGGCGAAGGCGGGUCUCUGGACAGUUCCUGACGCUGAGGGACGAAAGCUAGGGGAGCAAACGGG
rnacentral:rRNA from 1 species